rnacentral:lncRNA from 1 species
GUCACUCGGUGUUCUCACCGAAAGCACGUAAUCGCCGGUGUAACUCAUGUUGGCUGGGGGGCCUCCCGGCGCGCAGCAAGGCUGGGGUGCGCCCCU